rnacentral:lncRNA from 1 species
UAACCCUGGACAAACUAACAUGGAAGAUACUCUGUCGAAAAGAUCUCACAGAAUUAUACAAAGUCACAUCUAACGAGCAUUGAGAGAAUUGGACUCUAAGGGUUUCAAAAUAGUUCGAGAAGACACUGAGUGUUCGAAUGCCCAGUCCAAGGCAAAACCAACGUUCGAACGCUAGGAAGAAAAAACCAGGAAUUAUACUUGGCGUUCGAACGCCAGAGAAGUAAGGAAAUCAGCGUUUGAACGCUGAGAAGAAAAAGAGAUUUUUAUAAUUCGAACGCCUCUAUGCAGUGUCCCAACUCCUCUAUGCAGCGUCCCAACGUACAAAAGCUUGAAAAAUUGAAAAAAUGAGUUUUUGCCUUAGGGUUUGAAUGCUUCUGUGUAGUGUUCCA